UACGUAGGGUGCGAGCGUUAAUCGGAUUUACUGGGCGUAAAGCGUGCGCAGGCGGUUUGUUAAGCGAGAUGUGAAAGCCCCGGGCUCAACCUGGGAACGGCAUCCGGAACUGUCAGGCUAGAGUGCAGGAGAGGAAGGUAGAAUUCCCGGUGUAGCGGUGAAAUGCGUAGAGAUCGGGAGGAAUACCAGUGGCGAAGGCGGCCUUCUGGACUGACACUGACACUGAGGUGCGCAAGCGUGGGUAGCAAACAGG
rnacentral:rRNA from 1 species